rnacentral:rRNA from 1 species
CGGACGGGUGAGUAACACGUAGGUAACCUGCCCUAUAGUGGGGGAUACCCAGCCGAAAGGUUGGCUAAUACCGCAUGAGCUCGUUGGUUGAAAUACCUUCGAGGAAAGAUUUAUCGCUAUUGGAGGGGCCUGGGUCCGAUUAGCUAGUUGGUGAGGUAAUGGCUCACCAAGGCGACGAUCGGUAGCUGGUCUGAGAGGACGAUCAGCCACACUGGAACUGAGACACGGUCCAG